rnacentral:rRNA from 1 species
CGUGCAGGUGGUUCGGUAAGUUGGAUGUGAAAGCUCCUGGCUCAACUGGGAGAGGUCGUUCAAUACUACCGGACUUGAGAGCAGUAGAGGGAGGUGGAAUUCCCGGUGUAGUGGUGAAAUGCGUAGAUAUCGGGAGGAACACCAGUGGCGAAAGCGGCCUCCUGGACUGUUUCUGACACUCAGACGCGAAAGCUAGGGUAGCAAACGGGAUUAGAGACCCCGGUAGUCCUAGCUGUAAACGAUGUGAACUAGGCGUCGGCGGGUUCAAAGCCGCCGGUGCCGUAGCCAACGCGAUAAGUUCACCACCUGGGGACUACGGCCGCAAGGUUAA